rnacentral:lncRNA from 7 species
UUGCUUAUCAGAGCUCUGCCAUUUAUGAGUAUCAGUUAUGCGUGCUGCAAAGGCUCAUUCAUCAGUUCUGUGUUCUCAUCCCUAGUGGUCGUUCCAGCUCCUGCGGAAUUUCUAAGCAUCUUUUUGCAGAAAGAAUCCAUCCUGACUUGAGGCCUAAGGACGCAUCUACUAACAACGUGCAUCCAAGACUGAAAAUAUUCAGCAGUAUUAAAGUGAGAGAGAAUAAAUGAUACUGUUAUACCUGAGCAAAAGUGCUGACCUGAAAAAGCUGAGUUGUCCAGUACUUCCAGGGGACCUUUUAGGCUGUAGACAAUUAUGGCUAAUUUUUGUAUCAUUUGUCUUCUCCAGGGUUCAAGGCAUAUCCUUAAAGUUACUGUAGACUGGAUUUAAUAUCUAACAGUAAAGUGUCAUAGCCAUUUCUGCAGCAGUUUGUUUGUAAAUGACUGUAGAAGUAUGGUUAUACAGGAUAUAUUUUGAUGCUUGUGUCAACCAGAUCUCCAUGUAACAUAGGAGGUGCCAGAAUACACUCUGUUAACAUUUUGCACAUAUCCAUGAUUAGCAACCUUCUUAAUUUAGAUGUGCCUUUUUUAACCUUAUUGUAGCUAACUAGUAGCAAGGCACAGCCAACAUCUACCUGUUACACUAGCCGUUCACAGCCUCAAGAAGUAUAUUCCAGCUGCUAUUUCAAUUCUUCCUUUUGAAUGUGAUUCACUUGUGAGUUUGUGCCCUAAAGCCCACCUGGCAAGCAGGAAGGCUGUCUGGUGGCCAGCAGACCUCUCAGCUGACUCGAUCCCCAGCUCUCCCCAUUAGAAUGGCAUGCUAUGUCAUUUACUUCACUUCAUACUAUUCCAGUUACAAACUAUAUUUCUACUUUCACCUUUUAAAAUAAGCAAUUCCUAAUCCAAAUAUAGCAGAACAUCCCAGUUAUUAAGAGGAGUGGCAUGCAAUGUCAGGAUAUGUCUACAGAUUCUGUGACAGAAAAGGUUCACAAAGUUUUUCAUAGAAUCACAGAAUCAUUAAGGUUGGAAGAAACCACUAAGAUAAUGUAGUACAACCCUCAGCCCAUCACCACCAUGCGCCCUAACCCAUGUCACUCAGUGUGUCACCUACCCUUUUCUUGAAAAACUCCAGGGAUGGAGAAAAUAUGGUAGAAAAUAGUAGAGAACUGACUUUAAUAUUACAAUUUAUACUAUAAAUAUUUAGUUAUUUAAAUCACAACAGAAAUAAAACCUGGCCUUCACAUAAAUAAAAUGCUUCAGAGAGGUUGAUAAAUGGCAUUUACAUC